rnacentral:rRNA from 1 species
UGGGGAAUAUUGCACAAUGGGCGCAAGCCUGAUGCAGCCAUGCCGCGUGUAUGAAGAAGGCCUUCGGGUUGUAAAGUACUUUCAGCGGGGAGGAAGGGAGUAAAGUUAAUACCUUUGCUCAUUGACGUUACCCGCAGAAGAAGCACCGGCUAACUCCGUGCCAGCAGCCGCGGCAAUACGGAGGGUGCAAGCGUUAAUCGGAAUUACUGGGCGUAAAGCGCACGCAGGCGGUUUGUUAAGUCAGAUGUGAAAUCCCCGGGCUCAACCUGGGAACUGCAUCUGAUACUGGCAAGCUUGAGUCUCGUAGAGGGGGGUAGAAUUCCAGGUGUAGCGGUGAAAUGCGUAGAGAUCUGGAGGAAUACCGGUGGCGAAGGCGGCCCCCUGGACGAAGACUGACGCUCAGGUGCGAAAGCGUGGGGAGCAAACAGG